rnacentral:rRNA from 1 species
UACGUAGGGGGCAAGCGUUGUCCGGAAUCAUUGGGCGUAAAGCGCGCGUAGGCGGCCAGAUAAGUCCGGUGUGAAAGUCACAGGCUCAACCUGUGAAUGCCGCUGGAAACUGUCUGGCUUGAGUCCGGAAGGGGCGAGUGGAAUUCCUGGUGUAGCGGUGAAAUGCGCAGAUAUCAGGAGGAACACCAAUGGCGAAGGCAGCUCGCUGGAACGGUACUGACGCUGAGGCGCGAAAGCGUGGGGAGCGAACAGG